GUAAAGUUCUUGGGCUAGAUCUUGUGCUAGAAAAGGAAUGUGAAGUUUCAGAAGAAAAUUAUGGUGUUAGCUGAAAUCUCAAAAUAAACUUCAGAGGAAAAUGUUUCUUUUAUUAAUAAAAUAAUAUAGUUUGUUGAUCGUUUUCAUCUUUUUCAUAUUCCAUAUUAAUAGUAUAUAUCAUAGGAGAAAAUGAAGCAGAAGCCUUUGUUUCAAAUAGUGUCAUCUUCAUCAAUCUCAGCCUAUCCUCUUACCAGGGAUAUAUGUGGAUUCACCCAAAACACAUUUUUUCUCACUUCAGUUAUCAAGUCCCUCUAAUAUCCUCCAGGUGCCAUUCCAAUAUUAUUACCAAAUUAUAUCUGGAUUAUGUAAUGGUAGUUGUGCUCCCACUGUACAUAGGCUUUCUUAUAGAUUCAGAAUUGCCAUAUAUUAUCAAAAUAGUUCUUGAUAUAAUCUCAUCUUGAGGUUUUCUGGGGUAGUGUGUUACUUUGAUUUCAUCUUUCUGUUCUUGAUUAAGCAGUAGGAACAUAUUGAAAACUCUACAAUUUUCAGUGAAUUGAAAUGGAAGGAUUGCACAAAAGUAAUGAAUUGCAACCUUCUCAAAAAUGCAUCUUAAUGUAGUAGUUGUGCACAUAGAUGUAUUUUUUAGUGCUGUCUUUUGACAUUUAUUACCAGGACUAAUGCUUUUAAUAUAUUAUCUAAGAUGACACAGAGAAGCAUGCCCUCUAAGAUGAUAUUUUUUUAAAUUUGUAUUUAUAAUCUUUUAUUGACUUAAAGUGUUACCUUGAUGCUAAAUCUGAUCAUCUUGUAUGACAUAUAAGGAGUCACAUUACAUAUAUUCUAGAGCUAUUGUAUAUGAAAGAAGAACAAGUAUCAAAUAUGGAUGGGAUUCUGAAAUAAAAAGUCCUCAGUAGAAAUGCUGGCCAUUAUGUUUUAAUUAUGCAGUUUCCCAUAUAUGUGAUUUAAUAGAUUUAAAUAUUUUCUUUUAAUAAUGGCUACAUAUGUUUUUGCUUCAAAUUGUUUUCAUAAUGUUGAAAUAUUCUAGCAAUAUGUGUAGAAAACUAUUUGGCAGUAUUUUAGGCCUGUCUUUGAAUUCCCAAUGUAGCUAUCCAUCUUGCAUAUAUGUUAUUAUCAUGACCAGAAAAAAUAUCUUAAGUGACCAAAGUCCAGCUAUUGAAUAUCAGUAGAAAUAUAUUAUUAUUGUCUUCUCCUCAGUCAUCUGGAAUAAAGGUGGUAAUUAAAGUCACAGUUCAGAUAGACUCAAAGUCAUUUCAUUGUAAGUUUUUUAAUUAAAGAACAAGAAUUUGGCCCAAGCCUAAAAGAUUAACUUCCAUUAAAAUCCCAAUAUUCAUCUGCUUGAAGGAAGCAAUAUAUUUCUUCAGUAAAAAAACACAUAUAAAAUUGAUACAGAAAAUUUGAUGUUAAUCUGAUGGAAUAUUUUCUAUACAAGGCAUGUGUGUUUUAAGUCAAGUGUCUGAAAUAGUAGGUAUGUAUUUUAAAUUGUUUCAAGCCACAUAUUAAAAAAUACCAGGCAUCAGGGCUAAGAUUGUGGCUCAGUGGUAGAGUGCUUGCCUGGCACAUGUGAGAAACUGUGUUCAAUCCUCAACACCACAUAAAAAAUAAAAUAAUAAAAUAAAGUGUAAACAAGUUUUGAAAAAAAAUAGCAGUCAUCAGAAAACCAUGUGGAUGAGGCUAAAUCAUUCCAUGACUCUUUAGACCUUUUAGAUAUAAAAGACAUGACAGUAAGAAAAAACAAAAUAGUGAAACAUUUAUGAACAUAGUAUACCAUUUUAAAAUCUGAGGUGAUGUAGAUAUUUGGUUAAAACAUCAAAGAGUUGAUUUCUGUUUAUUUUAAUUUUUAACUGGAAUCUACUAUUUGUACUUUGAUAUGAGACCCAUUAUUGUAACUCAACAUGUGUAUAUAGUGUGUAAUUAUCAGAUCAGGGUAAUUUUCAUCUCAUUAAAAUUAUUAUUAUUUGUUUGAAACCUGCAAAUUUCUGGCUAUUUUGAUUUGUUUAAGACGUUAUUGUAGAACAUAAUCACCUUAUUGUGCUAUGAAUCCUAAGAGUUACUUUCUGGUCUUAACUGCUUUUGGCACUCCUUACACACAAUCAGUCUCUUUCUCAUUCUUAUCAUAAAUCUGGGAAGCAUUUCUGUUUCAGUUUCUGUGUAAUCAACUCUUUAGCUUCAGCACAUAAAUACCACAUGCAGUAUUUGUGGGAAAAUAAAUGUCAUUACUAGGAAAAAUAAAAUAUCAUUCUCAAUUAAUAAUUCGGGAAAUUGGCAUAAUUCUUUGCAUUCACUCAUUCAGUGUUUUGAACUUGUCUAUAAUAAUAAAU
rnacentral:lncRNA from 1 species